ensembl:snRNA U6 U6 spliceosomal RNA
GUGCUCACUUCGGCAGCACAUAUAUAUACUAAAACCGGAACGAUACAGAGAAGAUUAGCAUGGCCCCGCGCAAGGAUGACACGCAAAUUUGUGAAGCAUUGCACAUUAAA